CAGAGGGGCAAGCGUUGUUCGGAAUUACUGGGCGUAAAGGGCGCGUAGGCGGCGUGCUAAGUCGAACGUGAAAUCCCCGGGCUCAACCCGGGAACUGCGUCCGAGACUGGCAUGCUUGAAUCCGGGAGAGGGAUGUGGAAUUCCAGGUGUAGCGGUGAAAUGCGUAGAUAUCUGGAGGAACAUCGGUGGCGAAGGCGGCAUCCUGGACCGGUAUUGACGCUGAGGCGCGAAAGCCAGGGGAGCAAACGGGAUUAGAUACCCCGGUAGUCCUGGCCCUAAACGAUGAAUACUUGGUGUGGCGGGUAUCGAUCCCUGCCGUGCCGAAGCUAACGCAUUAAGUAUUCCGCCUGGGGAGUACGGUCGCAAGGCUG
rnacentral:rRNA from 1 species